UACGUAGGGUGCAAGCGUUGUCCGGAAUUAUUGGGCGUAAAGAGCUCGUAGGCGGUCUGUCGCGUCGGCUGUGAAAACCCGGGGCUCAACCCCGGGCCUGCAGUCGAUACGGGCAGACUAGAGUGCGGUAGGGGGAGACUGGAAUUCCUGGUGUAGCGGUGGAAUGCGCAGAUAUCAGGAGGAACACCAAUGGCGAAGGCAGAUCUCUGGGCCGUAACUGACGCUGAGGAGCGAAAAGCAUGGGGGAGCGAACAGG
rnacentral:rRNA from 1 species